UUAUUUUAAAUGUGAUGAGAUGCUAUUGAAGGAUUUUAGCAGGAGAGCAACAUAAUUUGGUUUAUAUUUUGACAGAGUCACUUUGGCUGCUGUACGGAAAAACAGAAGCAGGAAGCCCAGAUAAGAAACUGAGUAGCCAGUCACGAAAUGGUGGUGUUAUGGAUCAGGGUGGUAACGGUGGAGGCGGUGAAAAUGAGAGAAGCUGCAGCCUGUUGAGACUCCACAAGAUUGAAGAUAUGAAAAGAGGAAAUAUGCAUGAAUGCCCGCAUGGAGAACCACCCCCACCUGCUGCUGCCGCUCUAAUGAUCACGCCCAUUAUCAACUGAGGGAUGGCUCUGUGCCUUGUCCUUGCAUUACGUGGACCAAGAACACUUCACAGGACUCAGAGAGGCCUCAAUCUUAUUCUCAGAACCGAUGUCACAACAUCGUACAAAGCCCUCAUGAGCAUAUUUGCCUUCCAAGGCAAAAGUAGAUACAAAAGAAGAAGGAAUUACAGAAGAAGUCACAUAACAUUAUUGCCUACAACUGACUGUUUACCUUGAAUACUUGAAGACCAGAAUGAAGAUUCUUAGGGUGAAGAAUUACAGCCUUAGCAUGGAGCAGGCCUCGGUGCAUCGGCUUUCAGCUAGGCAUGCCUGCCAAUGUUCUCACUGCAUCAGCUUUCAGCUGGGCAUGCCUGCCAAUGUUCAACGUCCUCCGGGGAUACGGAAGGCACCAUGAUAGACAUCUGGGCAAGUCAACAGGAAGGUGGAUAUCCAAAUCUCUCUCUUCGCAAUGAGAGUUUCCAGUUAGGUGGAGGAGAGAGUAAUAAAACGCAGAGCUGAGAUUCCUGACUUCACAGAUCCCUGAGGAGAUGUUUACUAAAGGGAAUCUUCUGGCCACUGUUACCUUCCUCCGUACUUACCUGCCUCAUGGAUAACACUGAAGAAUGCAGUUUACUUACAUGUUUUUCUGUUUGACAGAAGACAGUUAUUAGUUACCCUUGGGUCAUCAAAAUGACCAAGGCAGUGUCUGCUAAGUAUUUGCUGAGACUCUGGUAUGAUUCUUUCAAGUCUCAAGACAGUUAUCUGAACGAUAUCCCCGUGACAGUGGACUCCUGCACAUUCACAGUCCUGGAAGGAGCCUGUCCACACUGGCAUUCCGGAAGUCCAUAAAAGACAAACGCAUAUGCAGUCCCCGAGAAAGCAUCGUUGUAAACAAAUCUGCACUAGAUGGAAACUCUGUUAUGUGGUGCCGGCACACAUGGAAGAGACCCCGAAAGGAAGAAGCCUAUACGACUGGGGACACAUGUCUUAGAAGCACACCCAUUAGAUAAAGUGUCGCAUACUCUUUGAUAAGAAACUCCAGGCUGUCACCCAUCUGUUCUCUUAUCAAAGUAGUUUUGGGCCAGCAACUAUUUCAGACAUUUCUACAGUUUCAGAUGUCUCACUCUGCCUAUGACUGUAUGUUGUACUUGAGGACUGGACGCACAGAGUAAAGUGCAAAUAGCAAGCAUUCAGGUCCAACUCUCCUCCCUGUGGUUAACAAUAUAAAGAAAGAGGUAGUAUCGGAAUUAUUUUAGUUUGAUGUAGCCAUUAUAAAAUGUGUAUAUAUUUUAAAACAUCAUGUGGUACAUGAUAAAUAUAUACAACUUUUAUUUUUCAAUAAAAAAAUUAUAAAAAAAGUCGUCAAACCUGAUUUCUCCUACUACUUUUUGGUAACACUCAUCACACCAAAGACUUAUUAUUUUAAAAUGUUAUUUUUCAUAAUUAAUUUCUUAUUAAUUUUAUAGGCUAGAUUUUAAUUGUUGUGUCUAAAUAGUAGUGUCUGGUACAUGGUAGAUAAUCAGUGUGACAAAUAAAUGAAUAAGUCUGUUAACGACAUACUUCUCAUCACUGUAACUUAUUUUUGGUUUAUGACUGAUAAAACAUUUUUUCUCUAAAGAUCAAAUCCUUCUUUAAGAUGCUACCAUUGUUCCAUUCAUCAACGCCAAAUCAUUCCUUGGGCCUGAGAGGAGCUGCCAUCCUUCACUUCGUCUUUGGGUCACUUCCAACCUCUGUUCUCUGUGUGUCUCAUCUGGACUUCCUGGGAGAAUAGCCUCUCUCAUGAUACUCACUUUCUUCCACAUCUUCAAUCUCUGCUUCAUUGACAGAUUAUGCUACUCAAUAUAGAAACAACAUCUUUUUUAUUUUUUAAUGAUAAACAUUCUCCCCCUCAAUCUUUUAACCUACUAAUGCGGGCAAUCUAAUCUAAAGAAUAGCCUGCAAUGCCUCCUUUCAUCAUUUCCCGUUUAAUCCAGCUUUCUGGCUGAGUAAUUCUGCAGAAAGCCCUUUCUCCCAUGUCACAGAUGGAACUUUGCAGUGGCCUAUUCUGAUGAACAUGUGGCAGUUUACAUGCUAUUUGCAUUUGAAGCUGUUUAUCACUCCCUCCUUCUGAGUACUUUCUUCUUGGUGGGCUUUUAUGAUAGUAAUUGCUAUCCUACUGCUGUGUUUCUGACCACUGCUUGUCAGACACUUUAUUAUGCUCCCUUUCCUUUGUCCAUACUUGCAAAGUUAGAUUUCCACAUAUGCCUUUCCCGUCUUCUUAUUCCAUGAGAUUUAUCUAAGUGAUUUCAUCCAUUGCUAUGGGUUCAACUACCGCUAAUAUGUUCUUUACUCCCAACUCCCUUUCUACAGCUUCACAUAUUUAACUGCCUUUUAGGGAAUCACCAAAAGGCAAUUCCAUCUUAACAUACACAAAACUGAACUUAUGAUCCUUAAGUAUGAGGCCAGUUCUUUCUUAUGCAUUUUCUAAAUCAGUGAGUGAUACCAUCUCUUGUCCUGUUGUCCUGGGCAGAAUUGCAGGAGGUGACUGCUUUCUCUACCCUCCCUAUAAAAAUUACCAUCUCUCGUUUACCAACCUCCUGAUACCCCAAUCAUUAGUAUCUUUUUAAGAAAUGAUUUUCUGUUGUUUAACAUUUUUUAUAUGCUAUUACCUAUAUGGUUUUCCUCCUGAAAUGGGAUAUUGGGUAAGAGGGUACCAGAUGGAGGUCACAUAGACCUACAGUUUAUUCAAAGGGGACAUCUAUGGAGCAAAGGCAAAAUGGAGAACCCAGUGCAGCCAAACAGCUACUCAAAGGUCUGAGCGGAGAUACAGAAAUGACACAGGAGAUAACAGAAAGAGAGAGACAUAUCAGGUGGGUUUUGAGUGUAGGCAAAACCACAUUUACCCGUAGCUCUGGAGAACCCACUGGCACUGUUUUGAGACUGUUGCAGCCUGCAAGGGAGGGCGGACACUGAGUUCAGACACGCACACCCUCCGACCAGCUCCCAAAUGUCUGCUGAUGUUUACAACUUUGCUUCCUGCUUUCCUACCUGGUCUUAGCCUUUUGAUACACACCCUCCCACUGCUAUCAGAGUAAGAUUUGAGCUACGUACAUAAUCUGGCCCUGCCAGAUUAUGACAUUAGUUGGAGAAUAGAUAGGUCAAUGGGACCUGAGAUACAUUUUAGAAAAAUAUUAAUAUGUAUGCCAUAUGUAUAGUGUGCAGCUGGCAUUUUAAACACGUGGAAAAUGAUGAAAAAUUUAAUAAACCACGAGAGGAAAUUGGAUAAAUAUUUCCGAUACAUACACACAUCAGAUUCCCUUUUUUAUGUCACAUGCAAAACUAAAAUAAUAUUUGAAUGGCUUAAUCAGUGAAAUAUUUUCCUAAAUUAACUAACAUACCAGAAAAUAUUUGACUUAUCUUAAACCAAAUAUGUAUUUUUAUUGUACAGGGUUUUUUCUUUUUUAAAAAAUUUCAGCUUGCAAUUUAGAUAUAGGAGGUACAUGGGCAGAUUUGUUACAGUGGACUAUUGCAUGAUGCUGUGGUUUGAAGUACGGUUCCCAUCACCCUGGUAGUGAGCAUAGUUCCUGAUAGGUGGUCUUUUUUAACCUAACCUCCCUCCCUCCCUCCCUCCACCGUCUAGUAGUCCACAGUGUCUAUUGUGUCUCAUAUUUAUGUCCAUACGUGCUCAAUGCUUAGCUUCCAUUUAUAAGUGAGAACAUGUGGUAUUUGGUUUUCUGUUUCUGCAUUCAUUUGCUUAGAUCGCCCCAGCUCCAUCUAUGUUGCUGCAAAGAAUAUGAUUUUAUUCUUUUUUAUGGCGUAUAGUAUUUCAUGGUGUAUAUGUACCACAUUUUCUUUGUCCAGUUUCCUACUGAUGGUCGCCUGUGUGGAUUCCAUGUCUUUGCUAUUGUGAAUAGUGAUGCAGUGGACAUCUGAGUGUAAAUGUGUUUUUGGCAGAAUGAUUUAUUUUCUUUUGAGUGUAUAACCAGUAAUGGGAUUGCUGGGUCAAAUGGUAGCUUUGUUUUAAGUUUUGAGAAAUCUCCAGACUGCUUCCUCAGUGGAUUGGUCUAAUUUACAUUCCCACUAACAGUGUAUAAGCUCUCCCUUUUCUCUGCAAUGUUGCCAGCAUCUGUUUUUUUGACUUUUUAUAAUAGCCAUUCUGACUGGUAUGAGAUGGUAUCUCAUUGUGGUUUUGAUUUCGAUUUCUCUGAUGAUUAGCAAUGCUGAGCAUUUUUUCACACAUUUGAUGUAUGUCUUCUUUGAGAAAUGUCUGUUCAUGUCUUUGCCCAUCUUUUAAUGGGGUUAAUUGGGUUUUGUUUGUUCAACUGUUUAAGUUCCCUAUAGAUUCUGGAUAUUAGGCCUUUGUCAGGUGCAUACUUUGCAAAUAUCUCCUCCCAUUCCCUAGACUGUCUGUUUACUGUGCUGAUUUUUACUCUCUGUUUAUUUUGCUAUGUAAAAGUUCUGGAGUUUAAUUAGGUCCCACUUGUCCCGUUUUUGUUUUUGUUGCAAGUGCUUUUGGGGACUUAGCUAAAAAUUAUUUGCCAAGGCUGAUGUCCAGAAGAAUGUUUCCUAGGUUGCCUUCCAGAAUUUUUAUAGUUUGAGGUCUUACAUUUAAAUCUUUAAUGUAUUUUCAGUUAAUUUUUGUAUGAGGUGAAACGGAGGGGUCUGGUUUCAUUCUGCUACAUAUGGCUAGCCAGUUAUCCCAGAUGUGUUGAUUGAAUAGGGAGUUCUUUCCCAUUGCUUGUUUUUGUUGGCCUUGUCAAAGAUCAGAUGGUUGUUUGCAUGUAGCUUUAUUUGUUUGUUUUCUAUUCUUUUGCAUUGGUCUAUGUGUCUGUUUCUGUAACAGCACCAUGCUGUUUUGGUUACUGUGGCUUUAUAGUAUAGUAUGAGGUUGGAAAGAGUGAUGCCUCUGGCAUUGUUCUUUUUGCUUAGGCUUUCUUUGGCUGUUCAGGCUCUUUUUGGUUCAAUACAAAUUUUAGAGUAGUUUUCUAAUUUUAGUAAAUUUUCUAAAGUAAAUGUUCUAAUUCUGUGAAGAAUGACAUUGGUAAUUUGAUAGGUAUAGCAUUGAAUCUGUAAAGUGCUUUGAGCAAUACGGCCAUUUUUACAAUAGUGGUUUUGGUACUGAAACACCAGGUACUCAGUCUAGGUCCUGCUGCUUGCUGCACAGAAAGCCAAUGACUGAGACAGCAAGUAUUGCCAAGGAAGCUUUAAUCCAGUGCUGCAGCAGAGGAGAUGGGAACUCAGUCUCAAAUCCAUCUCUCUGACCUACUAAAACCAGGGGUUUAUAUAACAAGGAAGGAAUGUAACAUUGUGUAAGAAAACAGGAACUAGGGAGGUGUCAGGAAGCAAUCGCGAUGAAUGAGGGGUCCAACAUCUCAUUGUCUGGAUGUGAUGAUCUGCUGAGUUUCAGUUCUUUGACACUUUUUGUGAGAGGCCUGAAGGUCAUUUCCUCAGGAAGGAACUCAGAUAAAACAAAUGUAAGUUUCAAGCUUUAAGACCAGAAGGGUCAAUUUCUAUGUUUAUUAAAAAGAAAAAAACAGUUAGACUGGGCGCGGUGGCUCACGCCUGUAAUCCCAGCACUUUGGGAGGCUGAGGCGGGCAGAUCACGAGGUCAAGAGAUCGAGACCAUCCUGGCCAACAUGGUGAAGCAUCAUGUCUACUAAAAAUACAAAAAUUAGCCAGGCAUGGUGGCACACGCCUGUAAUCCCAGCUACUUGGGAGGCUGAGGCAGGAGAAUGGCUUGAACCUGGGAGGCGGAGGGUGCAGUGAACUGAGAUUGCACCACUGCACUCCAGCCUGGUGACAGAGCGAUACUCCAUCUCAAAAGCAAAAAACAAAAACCAAAAAAAACAAAAAAAACGAACACCAGAAUAAAACUGUCUGUGGAACAAUUGGGUCAGCUUUAGUUUUUCCAAUCCUUGAGCAUGGGAUAUUUUUCCACUUAUUUGUGUCGUCUCAUCUCUUAUUUCUUUCAGCAGUGUUUUGUGCUUCUCAUAGAGAUCGUUCAUCUCCUUGGUUAGCUGUAUGCCUAUAGGUAUUUCAUUUUCUUUGUGGCUAUUGUAAGUGGGACUGUGUUCUUGAUUUCACUCUCAGCCUGGAUGCUGUUGGUGAAAUAUGUAUUUUUAAAAAAGAAAAGCAAAAAAAAAAAAUAGAUAGACUUGACUAAACAAACAUUAUUAUAAACAAGAAUGAGUGUCAAUAUUCUUUUCCAUAAGGUACUCUUACAAAUCAGUAUAAAGAAUUAUAAUUUCUCUAUUUAAAAAAGGAGAUAGGAUUGCCAAUUCACAAAUUGUAUAUAAGUGGCCUAUGAAUGCAAAAACCUCAAUUGCAUAAGUAAUAAAAAAGUCUAAAUAAAGUGAUAUUACAAAUUGUAUAUAAGUGGCCUAUAAAUGCAAAAACCUUAAUUGCAUAAGUAAUAAAAAAGUCUAAAUAAAGUGAUAUUAUUUUCUACUGAUACAAUUGAUGGGGAGAAAAACCAAAAUAAAGUGAACAGAAGAAAAUGGGGAAAAAGGGAGCCUCUUAGACUGCUAGUGGGAGGGUAACUUUGUAUAAACUAUUAGAAUACAAUUUGUCAAUCUGUGUUACAAUCAAAUUGUUCAUUCACUUUGUAACAACAGUUCUAUUUCUAGGAAAUAAUUAUAGAUGGCAAGUAUUUCUAUAUAAAGCUUUUCAGUACAAUGUUAAAUAUGAUAAAAUUGGGGAUACUCAAGUGGUCACUAAUAGGAGCAUGACUAAAUAAACUUUGGUAGUGACAGUAAAUAGAAUACCAUGCAUCUAUUAGAAAUGCCUUUUAGAAAAUAAAGUCAAUGGCAUGGGGAUACGGACAUAAUUUGUAAAGCAGUAUAACUCAAAUUUGUAGAAAGAAAUUGCAGGACAAAGACUGGUACUGAUUCAAAAUGGUGCCUGGCUACGAUGGGCCUUUGUCCCCAGAAUUAAGCCUGGAGAAUUGUCCUCGAAGUAAAGCAGGUGCUCUACGUGUAGAAAGCUCGUGGUGCGGAUGUUGGACUCUGAGAGAAGGCUGAGCACAGCCUUGGGUAAUGCAGAACUUCCUCAAAAGGCAAGGAGGCAAAAAUAAAACAUGUGAAGAGCAACUCUCUUUGAAGAGGAAAUGCACUCAAGCCCUUGGGCCACAGAGAAAAGUGCUCCUGAAACUGGAAACCCUAUGGACUCCCAGCCUCCAGCCUGCCUGCUCUUCAGUCAGUCACCCUACAGGCGACACCCCCUGCACUCCCCACUCUCAUUUUCAGAGAGCUGCUGCCGGGACCCUCAUUCUGGGAAUGGACUAUGAGGAAGGAGACCUACAUAGUUGUCAAGGAAACCUAUGCCAGUUACAUAUGCCAUACAUUUUAAUCGCUUAGUUAUCAAUGUGACAGGUAGGCAGAAAACACCAAAUGCUUGAGGAAAACCAGGGGUAUGAAAGAGAAGCAUUAAGAUUACUUUUUAAUGGAAAUGUAUAUAUUCACCUAGGCUAUUCUUCCUUACCCAAGUUGAAACUGAAUAGUAUGACCUAAACGUACAUUUCGUGUGCUGGGAAGAAAAAGCAACUGAUAACCCCCUUUCCCGUAGGUUUCCUGUCAUUAAUUUGCUCACCAGUGCAACCCCAUUCAGGCCCCCAAGCUAGUGCCAUCUUGUGUGCACAAGGCUGGGGCAAUUGGAUUCAUAAGAAGUUUUUUCCAUGAGGAAUUUUCAGUCUAAUGUCAAGUAAUUGACAAUGAAAAUGUUUCCUGGUUUCCAUCCAAAUAUUUAUUAAUACAGCAAAAAUGUAGGAUUUGUAGGAUUUAUAUAUCUUCCAACUAUCUCCACUACUGCAGGACACACACACCAUCUAUAAAUCUCACAUUGUAACCACUAACACUUAUCUUUGUUACUGUCACCUGGAAUCUUUUAUGCCAAAAUAAGAGUCUUAAAAGAAUGAAGCCCUGCAAUUUCACUGUCCAACAACAGAGGUUUUACCUGAUAAAUCGUCUUCUUGUCUGACAGAGUGGGCCACAGAAACAUCUCUGACAGCUGUUGCAUGAUGGAGUGGGAGCAAGGUCACUUCCUGCAAAUGUUAGGGUUCUUCAGAAUCCUUCAGGCGUUGGAGGAAUAAUUGAACUCAACAGGCAAUCAGUCACGUCUGAAACAUGUGAAAUAUACCUAAGGACCCGAGGUCAGGGUUGAGUGUCCAAAUUCAACCAGUUAUUCACACGGUCUGAAAAUGAAAAUGUUUCAUUUCAGAGAAGUUUAUAUGGAGUCCUUGACAGA